GUCCGGAUUGGAGUCUGCAACUCGACUCCAUGAAGUCGGAAUCGCUAGUAAUCGUGGAUCAGAAUGCCACGGUGAAUACGUUCCCGGGCCUUGUACACACCGCCCGUCACACCAUGGGAGUGGGUUGCAAAAGAAGUAGGUAGCUUAACCUUCGGGAGGGCGCUUACCACUUUGUGAUUCAUGACUGGGGUGAAGUCGUAACAAGGUAACCGUAGGGGAACCUGCGGUUGGAUCACCUCCUUACCUUAAAGAA
rnacentral:rRNA from 1 species